GCAAGGCAGCCCCAGAGAUGAGCAAGGCAGCCCUGCAGACAAGGCAUCACAGGCCUCUCUCAUCAAGAUAUGAUAGGCCAUGCUUCAUGAAGGCUGGACAGCCAUCAAUAGCAGGAAGAGAUGUUUAAGGAGCAUCAAAGACAGUGUUCUAAAACAAACUCAGCACUUUGACCUUUCUGUUUAAGUGUCAAAAAGCCACCAAAAACAAAGUCAAGCUACCAAAGUUUUAGAAGCCAGAAUCUGGAACAUUCAGAAGCUCGUUUAUAAAUAAGUGUGUGAAUGUUGUUUAUUUUAUCCGACCUUUAAAGUAGAGUGGGGGGGGGGACCUCAACCCAAACUCCCAACCUCUUUCUGAAGAAAAAACAGAAUUUGAAUAAGAACACAUGCAUUUCUUCAUAACUUUCCGACUAUUAACACAAACUCUAAUCAGAUCUAAUUUAAAGCCUCUUAAUUAUAUUAAAUCAUUUUUGUGUGUGCAUAUGUGCAGUCUUUUACCUGCAAACAGAGUUAUGUGGCUUUGAUUGUGUGUACACACUUGAGCCAUCUAAAUUAAAUGUCAUGCUUAAAAUUAGUCGGCAUCACAGGGGGCUCUCCAUUAAAACCAGAGUUAUCUUUGAAUGUAGCAUUGCUAAAAUAAUUACUUAUCCUCCCUGCAUAUGUUUCACCGCCUAGUUAUACAGCGCAAAUCUGUCGUGAUUUAAUCACUGUCCCUAAAACACUAACAAAGUAAUUGCAAAUAAGCAAAGGAUAAAUAUUUGCUACAUUGGCUGGCUGCUGUUUUGUGCUCCUGUGUUUGUUUUCUAUUUCUUUUUAUUCGCAUAAUUAAAAGGGGGGAGGAAAGGAGAAUCCUGUGAUCUGAAAGCCUUCAGGGAAUAUGAAGCUGUAAUCUCCCCCCCCCCCUUCUUUUUAAUAACUACUGUGCCUAAUUAAAACUUCUGAUUUUUUUGGGGGGGGGGCAAAUAUAUCUAUCUAUCUGGAUAUCUGUUUGGCUCAGAAAUCACAUUAUUCCUCUACUCACAAUCCGAUCACAGUUGGUUGAGUUCUUUAGUCCUUGCCUACUGAAAAGGUUGACAACCACCGUGAUUCUGUACCUUUAAGAUCAUUACUUUCACCCCGCCCUGGCUC